CAACCCUCAAGCCCUGCUUGGUGUUGGGGUCCCUACGGCUGCCGUAGGCCCUGAAAGCUAGUGGCGGGCUCGCUACAACUCCGAGCGCAGUAAUAUAUCUCGCUAGGGAAGUGUUGCGGGUUCCGGCCGUUAAACCCCCCAAUUUUACAA
rnacentral:misc_RNA from 1 species